GGCUCUGGGGCGGGGCUCUGGGGAGGGUGCGGACGGACCCACGGACCCUGUCGGGAUGGGGAGUGUGGCUGCUCCGCCAGGGUCCUGUGGGUGGGAGAGAGGCUCCGCGACCGCUGGUGGCCGGAGUCCCUCCGUGUUGUGCUAGAGAUGCUUUUCCUCUCGUUUCAUGCAGGCUCUUGGGAAAGCUGGUGCUGCUGCUGCCUGAUUCCAGCCGACAGAUCUUGGGACCGGGACCGGGGCCGGCGCUGGCGGCUGGAGAUGGCGGACACGAGAUCCGUGCACGAAACCAGGUUUGAGGCGGCGGUGAAGGUGAUCCAGAGUUUGCCGAAAAAUGGUUCAUUUCAGCCAACAAAUGAAAUGAUGCUCAAAUUCUAUAGCUUCUAUAAGCAGGCAACUGAAGGACCCUGUAAACUGUCGAGGCCUGGAUUCUGGGAUCCUAUUGGAAGAUAUAAAUGGGAUGCUUGGAGUUCACUGGGUGAUAUGACCAAAGAGGAAGCCAUGAUUGCAUAUGUUGAAGAAAUGAAAAAGAUUCUUGAAACUAUGCCGAUGACUGAGAAAGUUGAAGAGUUGCUACAUGUCAUAGGCCCAUUUUAUGAAAUUGUAGAAGACAAAAAGAGUAGCAAAAGUUCUGACUUAACCUCAGUCCGACUGGAGAAAAUCUCUAAAUACUUAGAAGAUCUUGGUAACGUUCUGACUUCUACUCCAAACGCCAAAACUGUUAAUGGUAAAGCCGAAAGCAGUGAUAGUGGAGCUGAGUCUGAGGAAGAAGAGGCCCAAGAAGAAGUGAAAGGAGCGGAACAAAGUGCUAAUGAUAAGAAAAUGAUGAAGAAAUCUGCAGAUCAUAAGAAUUUGGAAAUCAUUGUUACUAAUGGCUAUGAUAAAGACACCUCCACUCAGGAUAUACAGAAUGACAUUCAUGCCAGUGCUUCCUUGAGUGGGAAAAAUGCUGAAGAAAUAAAGGCUGUAGAUGAAAAUUUGGAGCAAACUGGAAAAACUGCUGUCUGCAUUCACCAAGAGAUAAAUGAUGAUCAUGUUGAAGAUAUUUCAGGAAUUCAGCAUUUGACAAGUGAUUCAGACAGUGAGGUCUACUGUGAUUCCAUGGAACAGUUUGGACAAGAAGAGUCUUUAGACAGCUUUACGUCAAACGGCAGACCAUUUCGAUAUUACUUGAGUGGUGAUCCCAAUCAGCCCUUGGAAAGUCCUGGUUUUCCUGAAGAUGUUCAAGGAUCUCCGGGAAAUGGCAACAUUGGGGAUAUGCAGGUUGUAGCAGUUGAAGGAAAAGGUGAAGUAAAGCAUGGAGGAGAAGAUGGCCGAAGUAACAGUGGAGCACCACACCGUGAGAGACGGGGUGGAGAAAAUGAGGAAUUCUCUAAUGUCAGAAGAGGGAGAGGGCAUAGAAUGCAACACUUGAGUGAAGGAUCCAAGGGUCGGCAAGUGGGAAGUGGAGGUGAUGGGGAACGCUGGGGCUCAGACAGAGGGUCAAGAGGCAGCCUCAAUGAACAGAUUGCUCUCGUCCUCAUGCGCCUGCAGGAGGAUAUGCAGAACGUCCUUCAGAGACUUCAUAAACUGGAAACGCUAACUGCUUCGCAGGCAAAAUCAUCAACAUUACAGACCAGUCAUCAGCCUCCCUCACAGAGACCAUCUUGGUGGCCCUUCGAGAUGUCUCCUGGUGCAUUAACUUUUGCUAUCGUAUGGCCUUUUAUUGCCCAGUGGUUGGUGCAUUUGUAUUAUCAAAGAAGGAGAAGGGAGGUGUACAUAAAGAGGAUUUCUACAGAGGAUAAGGGAUGAUCUGAUUACUUAAAAUAUCACUCCUGCCCAAGGGGGUUGCAUAAGAGCAUUUCUGCGAAGAAAACUGAACUGAAGAAAAUGGUAUUUUACUCCAGAAGAUUACUGGGCCUGGAUGACCUCAGAAUGAAAUGGAAUGUGGAACCCACAAGAGUAUCUUAACUGUUUGUGAUGAUUACACUUCUUUUUGUCGUCCAGUAGUUUGGUUUGUGUACAUAUAUACAUAUAUAUAUUUUGCACUACACAAAUACAACAUUUUAAGGACUAAUAUUGCUGAUACUUGAAUAACUAAUCUCAACUAGGCUACAAGUAGCAUACAUAGACUUACCCUACCCUUAAACUUGAAGGACAUUAAAUUAUUAAUGAUUGUUUGGUAACACGUUUACCUGAUUAUCUCCCAUAGAGAACUAUAAGCUGCUUUUCCAAGGUACAGUUGUGAUAAUGAGAUCAGAUUUAUAACUGGAUAUUUUUAAUUUUCUAAAUUAAAUAUGAGAAAGAAUGCAAACCAGGAGUGAACUUCAGAUGAGUUAAAUCAACUUUCUAUCCUAGUCACUGAAUUGCCAUGCCAAGGAGCAGAAAACUGCUGGAAGAAUCUUCUCUACGUCCACUUUGUGAGCUGCCCGUAAUUUCUCUUGGGCAUUCACAGCGCUGACUUGAGUGUUCAGGCGUCAUUACUACAAAGUAGAGCCCUGUGUACCAGGCUUACUUUUUACAGAUGAACACAGAAUAGACAUAACCUGCUGAUGGGAAUGAUGAAUGGGCUUCAAGUAGGUCUGAAAGUAUACUCUGAGCCUGUAGAUCAUUGAUAAGAUUUUAUUCAACCGUAUACAUUUAUUUCUUUGUAAUCAUUUUUCUUUAACUGAGGAUAUCUUGUUUCUGCUUCAUAGGGUGCUUUGAAAUAUAAGAUGAAAACUUAUUUAUACUGUUUUUACAAAGGUCAAAAAAGGAAACACAUGAAAAUCACUUUUCUGUAACUGGUAAACUACACAGACUGGACUCUCAACCUCCUAGUGCCUCCGUUUUUCCUUUGGGGUAUAAUCUUUGAGAUACACCUAUUUCACAGGGGUCAUGGAAGGAUUUGCAAGCUAGCGGGCCAUAUGCUUCCAUAUGAAUAAGGCACAUCCAACUAAUGUAAACUUAAAUGUCCUUCCCCCAGCUCCCAUUUAGAACUAAAAAAAAAAGACUGCAAUUUAGAUCCUUGAAGGCUUUGUUUGGAAUUAUUCUUCUUGUAUGUCUUCCAGAACUUCACUCAUUUAGAUGUCCCUUGUACUUUAAAGAUUCCUUUCAUUCGAAGGCGUAGUAGCAAAUAAUUUUUAAGCAUUCUUGGUAUGUGUGAUGUUGGGUUAAGCAUCAUGUGUUCAGAGUGUUUUCAAUAAGAAAGAAACCCAUCCCUCGCAUAGAGGAUGGUUCUGUGUUUGCCUGAAGAAAAAAAGUGUAAGAAUACAAUUUGCUUUCCUCAAGAAUCUUUUUUCCUUAUUUUUUUCUUUCAUGUAACUUGGUGUUUUUUAUUUUUAAUCACAUCUUGAUUAAAAUGUGUCUAUCUAAUAUUUGCUUUUUAAAAACUGUCCUCUAUUUAUUUAGGGGGAAAAUGAAGCAAGUAACUGAAUUAUAUGUAAAAAUAAGGUUCAGACCUGUGGAUCAGGGAUUAUUUUAAAAAAUUAGAUAUCAAUUUGGUAUCAGAAAAUGGUGGCUUUUCUCUUAGUAAAUAAAUAAAUUAAAUGCAAAUUAA